UUGAGCUACAGCAAACAUUCGAUUUUCAAACUAUGCUGACGACACUGUGAAUGGUAAUGUUAAAAUUCAAUUGAUCAUCUUGUACAAGAUAGAGUGAACUUCCAUUAAGUUUGAACACGAUUUUAGAAAGAGCUUAGAAAGAGUGUAUUGCAAUUUAUGAAAGAUAUCUUCCAUACGAAAAUAAUAACAUGGUUACUUAUUCAACUUCUGAACAAAUGCCAAGUCUUCAAGCAUGAAAUUGAUAUGAAAAAAGACACAAGUUCACUCUCUUUGAGCCAUUAAUGAACUUCUUCUGUCCUUCCUGCAAAUAGAGCAAAAUAAAUAAUUACUUCAUGCUUAAACAACACUUGUCAUUUCUUAAAUAAUAUUCACCUCCUCCAAGAUCAUGAGAACAUCAUACGUUCCACGUAAGAUGGCCAAAAAAGAACUGAGAUUUCCCCCUCUAUCCUUCUCAAAAAGGACAGUAUACUUAUUUUUGCAUCGUACCCAAGCACGCUACAAACCCUUCCAGUUGUGCAAUAUCAAGUAAUCAAAGCCAACUCAUAUAAGUGAUUAAUGGUGGAUAAUCAUGUCUCAAAGCUCAAAGCCAAAGGUGCUAAAGUAUUCUACCCAAUAAUGUAAAUGAGAAAGUUCAAAUAUCAAUGCAAUUUAAAUCAACAUAAAUCCAAUAUCGUAUUCACCAUUAUAUGAAUUUCUUGAUAUUUUGAAUGCACUCAAUAUCUUCCGACCCCCCCCCAACCCCCGCCCAAAAAAAAAAGCACUAAGGAAUUAGAGUUUUCUGACAUCCAAGUAUAAUAUAUGAAUGCAUCCAAGUUCUUGCACUUAUUAUCACUUUUCCCAGCUGUUCCAUGUGGUAAUAGAGUUAGUACUUCUCAAUUUAAUUGGAGUAUGAUUUAUAUUCAUCUUUGAGCUAUCUAAAUGACACGACCCGUCCCGAAUCAUCCUAAUAAACCCGACACGUGUCGUGUGCAGAUGGUAGAUACCAGUUAAGUGCCGGACCUACCAUCAAGGCAACAUUGACUUGUAUUGACUAUGAUAUGCUUUGUAAAAAUUUUGGCAGAGUUCCUCCUGAAUUAUAGACUAAAAUCACCUGAAAUAUAUAAUCCAAUAUCCCAAACAGAUACAUGUAGCUUAAAAUAGGGUACACUGGCUCACAGAAAAUCAACUAUUCAAAUACAACACUGGCAAUUUGACCUUUGCAACAAUUUAUAAACCAUAGUACCCAAAAUGCAUAAUAUAUACAAAACAUAGCAGGCCCAAAAUAUGGAACUAAUUUCUAACCAAAAGAGGUAUCUAUUCCAAAAUAUGAGCUAUUACCCUGAUAAGAUGAGUCAUACAAUGCUUGACAAUUUAUAGUUCAACUUGAUAGAUCAAUUGGCCCAGUAGUGCUCAGCUCAGCUACUAUCUAUCUGAUAAGGAAAAAGGGUAAAAGCAAUAUGAGCUAAUAGCUCGGUGAGUGGAUAAUUUGCAAAUAAGUAAACUUUUUCCAUUUAUGCAUAUUUUCUUAAAAUUCUUGCUCUAUUAACACUAUGAGAAUUCUGAAAUCUGAUAAAACCUUUAGAACUAAAACAUGACUGCAUCAUAAGAUUCUUUGUUCUUUAUUCGAGAUAAAUAACUAUAAAGUAUAACAAAUUUUGGUACCCAUAAUAAUCUAUGAAAUAUUGUUGUUACUCAAUACUAUAAACUGAAAACUUUAUUCUUAGAACUGAAUAACUGAAUUCUAUAAUCUGGUCAUACAUACAUAGAGCUACAUUUACCUUAAUGUACUCAUUAUUCUUGAUGUGUGUAUCAUAACAUCGUAUAAACUCAAAAUUCUGGUACUAAAUCAUAAAUUAGACUCAAGUUGAUAUAUAAAAGAAAGAUGAUAAUAAUUAAUACAAGAUGAGUGAGAACAUUAGACAAACUCACUAAGCUAAAAUCAUCAUCCGAAAUCCAUAAGCUGAACUCUAAACGGGAAAAUGUAAGCUGAAAGCUAAUAAUCCACUAUAUACUUAAAAUUCACAUCAAAAUAUACUCCAUGUAAUCAUCUACUGAUGAUCUGAAAGCUAUAAAAUCAUAUGCACAUAAACCAUCUGAUCAACACUCUGUACACGACUGUAGCCCCUCAGUGUACAAGAUGAAAAUAACAUAAUCAUCCUUAUACACGGCUGUAGCCCCUCAGUGUAUAAUAGGUACCCUUACACACGGCCGUAGCCCCUCAGUGGAUAAGAGUUACCUUUAUACACGGCUGUAGCCUCUCAAUGUAUAGGAGUUAAAUACAUGACUCUAGUACACGGCCGUAGCCCCUCAGUGCACUAGAGUAAGAUAAUCACAUCAAUUAUUUAAAUGAUAAUUUCAAAA
rnacentral:lncRNA from 1 species